CAGCGCCUCUCCUUCACAGGAGAGGUGCUGCACAGAGAGGGAGAAGGCGCAGCGCCCCUUCAGCGAAGCUGGAGAAGGAACAGAAGGGUCUCCUUCUGUUCCUCCCCCGGCUUCGCUUGAUAGGCGCGUUGCUCAAGGGGCGCUGCGCCUUCUCUCUCUCUGCGCAGCGCCUCUCCGCGCAGAGAGGGAGAAGGCGCA